rnacentral:rRNA from 1 species
UACAGAGGUCCCAAGCGUUGUUCGGAUUCAUUGGGCGUAAAGGGUGCGUAGGCGGCGCGGUAAGUCGGGUGUGAAAUCUCGGAGCUUAACUCCGAAACUGCAUUCGAUACUGCCGUGCUUGAGGACUGGAGAGGAGACUGGAAUUUACGAUGUAGCGGUGAAAUGCGCAGAUAUCAGGAGGAACACCGGUGGCGAAGGCGGGUCUCUGGGCCGUAACUGACGCUGGAGGAGCGAAAGCCAUGGGGAGCGAACAGG